GACGAACGCUGGCGGCGUGCUUAACACAUGCAAGUCGAGCGGUAAGGCCCUUUCGGGGGUACACGAGCGGCGAACGGGUGAGUAACACGUGGGUGACCUGCCCUCAGCUCUGGGAUAAGCCUGGGAAACCGGGUCUAAUACCGGAUAUGACUCCAUGACGCAUGUUGUGGGUGGAAAGCCUUGUGCGGCUGAGGAUGGGCCCGCGGCCUAUCAGCUUGUUGGUGGGGUGAUGGCCUACCAAGGCGACGACGGGUAGCCGGCCCGAGAGGGCGACCGGCCACACUGGGACUGAGACACGGCCCAGACUCCUACGGGAGGCAGCAGUGGGGAAUCUUGCGCAAUGGGCGAAAGCCUGACGCAGCGACGCCGCGUGAGGGAUGAC
rnacentral:rRNA from 1 species